AUUGAACGCUGGCGGCAUGCCUUACACAUGCAAGUCGAACGGCAGCGGGGACUUCGGUCCGCCGGCGAGUGGCGAACGGGUGAGUAAUGUAUCGGAACGUACCAUUCAGUGGGGGAUAACUAUCCGAAAGGAUAGCUAAUACCGCAUAUUCUGUGAGCAGGAAAGCAGGGGAUCGCAAGACCUUGCGCUGAUUGAGCGGCCGAUAUCAGAUUAGCUAGUUGGUGAGGUAACGGCUCACCAAGGCUAUGAUCUGUAGCGGGUCUGAGAGGAUGCUCCGCAACACUGGGACUGAGACACGGCCCGGACUCCUACGGGAGGCAGCAGUGGGGAAUUUUGGACAAUGGGCGCAAGCCUGAUCCAGCCAUGCCGCGUGAGUGAAGAAGGCCUUCGGGUUGUAAAGCUCUUUCGGCCGGGAAGAAAUCGCAUCAGCUAAUACCUGGUGUGGAUGACGGUACCGGAAUAAGAAGCACCGGCUAACUACGUGCCAGCAGCCGCCGUAAUAC
rnacentral:rRNA from 1 species